rnacentral:rRNA from 1 species
CCCUUAGAUGUUCUGGGCCGCACGCGCGCUACACUGUUCGACGCAGCGAGUCUUAACCUUGACGGAAAGGUUUGGGUAAUCUUCAGCAAAGUCGAACGUGAUGGGGAUCGAUCAUUGCAAUUAUUGAUCGUGAACGAGGAAUUCCUAGUAAGUGCAAGUCAUCAGCUUGCGCUGAUUACGUCCCUGCCCUUUGUACACACCGCCCGUCGCUACUACCGAUUGAAUGGUUUAGUGAGAUCUCUGGAUUGACGCUGGCUAGGGGGCGACCCUUGGCCAGACUGCUCGAGAAACUGCUCAAACUUGAUCAUUUAGAGGAAGUAAAAGUCGUAACA